rnacentral:rRNA from 1 species
GACGAACGCUGGCGGCGUGCUUAACACAUGCAAGUCGAACGGUAAGGCCCUUCGGGGUACACGAGUGGCGAACGGGAGAGUAACACGUGGGUGAUCUGCCCUGCACUUCGGGAUAAGCCUGGGAAACUGGGUCUAAUACCGGAUAGGACUCCUCGCUUCAUGGUUGGGGGUGGAAAGCUUUUGCGGUGUGGGAUGGGCCCGCGGCCUAUCAGCUUGUUGGUGGGGUAAUGGCCUACCAAGGCGACGACGGGUAGCCGGCCUGGGAGGGUGACCGGUCACAGUUGUACUGAGAUACGGCCGGGAGGCCUACGGGAGGCAGCAGUGAGGAGGAUUGCACAAUGGGCGCAAGCCGGAUGCAGCGACGCCGCGUGAGGGAUGACGGCCUUCGGGUUGUAAACCUCUUUCAGCUAUGACGAAGCGCAAGUGACGGUAGUAGCAGAAGAAGGACCGGCCAACUACGUGCCAGCAGCCGCCGUAA